CUUAUGGAAAUGGAGGUACAUAUGAACAAAGAAGUAGAUAAACAAUAGGAUCCUCGCAACCCAUAUAUAAAAAGCAGAGACAUUUGGUUUAUUUUUCUUCACAGCUAAAACACAGAGAUUUGUUUUGGUCUAUUUAAGAGUACCAGCCAACCCAAGAACAGGGCAAUCCCGUUGAGCGUGUAAGCCUUAGAGCCUUUUUGACCACUAGUAUCCAAAUACCUGCCAUCACCACAACUGAUGU
rnacentral:lncRNA from 1 species